CGGUAAUUCCAGCUCCAAUAGCGUAUACUAAAGUUGUUGCAGUUAAAAAGCUCGUAGUUGGAUUUCUGCGGGGACGGAGCGGCCGGACGCAACUUGCGUCUCGAGCUAGCGCUUUCCCCGCAUCCUGCCGCGAACCGUGCUACCAUUAGUUUGGUGGCGCUGGGGAUCGGCUCGAUUACUUUGAGAAAAAUAGAGUGUUCAAAGCAGGCCACACGCCUUGAAUAAGUUAGCAUGGAAUAAUGACUAAGGACUUCGGUUCUAUUUUGUUGGUGUUCGGGACUGAAGUAAUGAUUGAUAGGGACAGUUGGGGCGGUCUGUAUUCCAAAGCGGGAGGUGAAAUUCUUAGACCUUCGGAGGACAAACAGCUGCGAAAGCGUUCCGCAAGGAUGUUCCCUUUGAUCAAGAACGAAAGUUGGGGGAUCGAAGACGAUCAGAUACCGUCGUAGUCUCAACUAUAAACUAUACCAGCUAGGGAUCGGUCAACGUUUAAUUAUUCGACUUGAUCGGCACCUUAUGAGAAAUCAAAGCAUCUGGGUUCCGGGGGGAGUAUGGUCGCAAGGCUGAAACUUAAAGGAAUUGACGGAAGGGCACCACCAGCCGUGGAGCCUGUGGCUUAAUUUGACUCAACACGGGAAAACUUACCAGGUCCAGACAUAGUAAGGAUUGACAGAUUGAUAGCUCUUUCUUGAUUCUGUGGGUGGUGGUGCAUGGCCGUUCUUAGUUGGUGGAGUGAUUUGUCUGGUUAAUUCCGUUAACGAACGAGACCCCAGCCUGCUAAAUAGCGCGGCUGAGCUUUGCUCGGUGCGAGCUUCUUAGAGGGACUAUGAUGCGCGAUAGCACAUGGAAGUUUGGGGCAAUAACAGGUCUGUGAUGCCCUUAGAUGUUCUGGGCCGCACACGGGCUACACUGGCGCCUGCAACGAGCAUAUCAGCUGGCCCGAGAGGGUCUUGGCUAAUCUUUUGAACCGGCGCCGUGCUUGGGAUUGACCUUUGCAAUUGUUGGUCAUGCAACGAGGAAUGCCUUGUAAACGCGAGUCAUCAGCUCGCAUUGAAUACGUCCCUGCCCUUUGUACACACCGCCCGUCGCUCCUACCGAUGAAUGUUCCGAUGAAAUUUUCGGAGAGCGCCAGAGAACGGGGCUCCGCCUUGCAGAUCUGGAGGCUCAAAGUCACUUAAAUCUGAACAUUUCGAGGAAGGAGAAGUCGUAACAAGGUAGCCG
rnacentral:rRNA from 1 species